UGAUUCCUCCAACUUGUCUCCAUAUCAAUUGUUUUCUCCCUGCAGACUUCCACCACCCACUGCUGCUGUUGCAUCUGCUAAAGGUAGCCGUAUCCUGAUUCACUGCGUCUUCAUGUGUUUGGGUAAGAAGUGUCAUUGGACUACUAACAAUGUAAACACCUUUAAAUGCUUGAUCUAAUUUACCCAAAUGGUUCAUCAGUUUAGGACAAAAAGUCAUUGAAUUUAACAUUGUUGGGGUCAGUAACCUGACCUCUAAAUGUUUGGGAAACCAUGCAAAAGAUCGCAAGCUCUCUGCAUGACCCAACAGCAUCCAUGUUUGAGUUAUUUAAUUGCUCAAUUUUUAAAUCAGUCAAGAUUUUAUGAGCUGGGUCUUCUUCACACAACAGAGAACAAGGUAAAUUGAGUCGACUCGUAACAUGGUAAGGCAUUUCGUCCUUCCCCUUCUUCUCUUUGUGUGAGGAAAUCUGGCCACGGAUCCUGACUGAGUGGCAUACCAUGACUGUGCCGUUUCCAAAAUCAGACAAGGAUCCAUCUGAUUUUGUGACUCGGCCUGUCAUGAUAUGCUUUUAUCUUCCUCCGAAACAAAGGAUUGGAAUGGACAGGUUUGUAGUGUAAAUCACAUCACUUUGUAGAUGGUGAAGCAUUUGUUUAAAUUGGAGUCAAGCAUUUUCAGGCGUCUGCUUUGUCAAUACUCUGGUGCCACGUCUUGCUAAACGCACGAGAAGCUCUGAAUUGUGAAACUGCCGCCUCUUGCAGAUGUUACAACAGCAAUGGUUGUUGAAAGGCUGCAGGGAGAGAAAAUGAGAUCUGAGGACGGGAAAGUGGAUUUGAUUUCAUGCUUAGCAAAAUAAGGGUUUUAGCAGAAGACCUUUUUGUGGCGAGGCUACAGAAUCAGAAGGAACGUUUGUCUGGGCAACUGUGAGAUUUACAGUUUUUCAUGCAGCAAACCAAGACAUUGGGGUUAGCAUCAUCCCAAAUGGCUGGUGAAGAUUGCUUGUAACUGUCAGUGUAGGACAGGAAAGGCAGGUUUAAGUUAGGGAGGGCAUCCAACGGUGAGCUCGGACUGGAUGUGAGGACCUGUCACACUUGACCAGAGAUUGAAGGCUGCAGCACAUUCCUGGAUCAGAGGACUCCAAGAUGAACCGACUCUUCUACGACGAGGACCUCGCCCAUGAUGAACCGACCUUUUCCACGGGAUGUCUUCAGAUGUUGGACCUUGCCAAACUGUACACAUGCCUCAAUGGCUGCUACGCCACUCUGCCCAACAGGACAUGGUCACUGAGAUUUUUUUGAUUUUUUUAAAUGGACUUUAACCCCCCCCCGUCCCCACUGACCCACAACCACA